CCCACCUGGGACCACCUGACACUGCGUGACACCACGUCAGGCCACCUGAGCCCACCUGAGACCACGUGACACUAGCCGAGCACCCAACACGUGGUCGGAUAAAGAAACUCAACCUCAGUUUGUUCACCUGCAGUGAAAAUGUCUCAAACCUGAGGAAACAUCUGCAGGAACACUUUGUGGAGGAAGAAGACUUGUGUUGGCGGAGAUGAAUCUCAAGCAAACGUUAUCCAGUCUGAGACGUGGGACUGUGAGUUGAUGUGUGUUGACUCUUCGCAAACAGAUGCCAAGCAAAGGAGGGCACCUUGUCAUUACUCUGUGUGUUUUCAGACCAGAGAGAAAACCUGCAUCUGACCAUGUGUCCACUCUCUGAAAAGUGGGUAAAUCUGCGCGUGUCGCCUGCCCGUCUGAUCCGUGUGCGGAAGGCUAUAAAAAGAUGUACAUGCUGUGCAGACGCCCCCUCCAUCACGGCGAGACCUGCUCCUAACGUCACCUUUGUCACCGAGACUGACAGCGUAGACGGGAAGGAGGGUGGAGGGGUCACCUGCUCCCCGGCACAGGACCACCUGUCGGAGCCAGCAGGCUUUCCAUUAACUUCGGGGGCGGUGGACUUCACUUCAAGGAUGACAAGAAGCCUGAAACGUCCCCUCUCUUCAUCUUCAGGCCGUCUGAAGGAACCAGCUCCGUGUCUGAGCCCCGUCUGGAGCUGCUAUAAAUGAUCGCUUGGCAGUGGAAGUGUAUUGAUUAUUUGCUGUUGCCCAUAUCCAUCACUUAGUCUAGACUUGAGUCUGUGUUCGCCUUUUCCCUUUUGACGCAUUGCUACCUCUUCAUUAAAAAAUGUUCUUCCUCGUCCUCGUGCGUCUCGCAGCUGCUUCUCUGCACCAGCAGCCAAUUCUCAGACGCACGUGAAACGCUACCGACUGGCGCAAAUAAAUAAAUAACUGAAUACGA